rnacentral:rRNA from 1 species
CCUACGGGAGGCAGCAGUGGGGAAUAUUGGGCAAUGGAGGCAACUCUUACCCAGCAACGCCGCGUGAAUGAAGAAGGUCUUCGGAUCGUAAAGUUCUUUAAUCGGGGACGAAAAAAAUGACGGUACCUCAGGAAUAAGCCCCGGCUAACUACGUGCCAGCAGCCGCGGUAAUACGUAGGGGGAAAGCGUUGUUCGGAAUGACUGGGCGGAAAGGGGGUGGUGGCGGUGUUGCAAGUUAGAAGUGAAAUACCUAGAGCUUAACUCAGGUGCUGCUUCUAAAACUGCUAUACUUGAGUGCAUGAGAGGAAAGUGGAAUUCCUGGUGUAGCGGUGGAAUGCGUAGAUAUUAGGAGGAACAUCAGUGGCGAAGGCGACUUUCUGGACUGUAACUGACGCUGAGGCACGAAAGUGUGGGGAGCAAACAGGAUUAGAUACCCCAGUAGUC